UGGGGAAUAUUGGACAAUGGGCGAAAGCCUGAUCCAGCAAUGCCGCGUGAGUGAUGAAGGCCUUCGGGUUGUAAAGCUCUUUUGGUAGGGACGAUAAUGACGGUACCUACAGAAUAAGCCCCGGCUAACUUCGUGCCAGCAGCCGCGGUAAUACGAAGGGGGCAAGCGUUGUUCGGAGUUACUGGGCGUAAAGGGCGCGUAGGCGGUCUUUUAAGUCAGAUGUGAAAUCCCUGGGCUCAACCUGGGCAUUGCAUUUGAGACUGGAAGGCUUGAGGACGGGAGAGGUGAGUGGAAUUUCCAGUGUAGAGGUGAAAUUCGUAGAUAUUGGAAAGAACACCAGUGGCGAAGGCGACUCACUGGCCCGUAACUGACGCUGAGGCGCGAAAGCGUGGGGAGCAAA
rnacentral:rRNA from 1 species